rnacentral:lncRNA from 1 species
AUGAACAGUGCUGCCGCUUACGUUCCUCCAUCCGCUAACGCCGCUGCUGCGUGUGACGUCAUUCAGACGGUCACCUCCAACCUGCAGACCAGACACCCUGACGCCUUCUUUAUGAUCUCUGGAGACUUUAAUCACGCCACCCUCAAUAAGACACUUCCUACCUUUACCCAGUUUGUGAGCUGUCCCACCAGGGGGGAGAGGACAUUGGACCUGAUGUAUGCUAAUGUUAAAGAUGCCUACAGCUCCACUGCCCUCCCCCCUCUGGGAAAGUCGGAUCACAACCUGGUACAUCUCCUCCCACAAUACACACCUUUGGUUCACAGGCAGCCUCCCACCAUUAAAACUGUAAGGAGGUGGACAGAGGGGGCACACCUUGCCCUGCAGGGAUGCUUUGAAGAGACAGACUGGAAGACUCUCUGUGAACCUCAUGGUGAGGACAUCGAUGGACUGACGGACUGCAUCUCUGACUACAUCAAUUUCUGUGUGGACACCCAGGUACCUACAAAAACCAUUUGCUGCUCCCCAAACAAUAAGCCCUGGGUCACUAAGGACAUUAAAGUCAUCCUGAAUGACAAAAAGAAGGCAUUUAGAUCAGGAGACAGGGAGGCAGCAAAGAGGGUCCAGAGACUGCUGUCUGUCAGGAUCAGGGAGGGGAAGGAGGUUUACAGGAAAGAACUGGAACAACGCCUUCAACAGAACAACACCAGGGAGGUUUGGAGGGGUAUGAGGACCAUCACUGGCUACAAGUCCAGCAGCCAGGAGAAUGUGGGGACUGUUGACCGAGCCAAUGAAUUUAAUAAUUUCUUCAAUCGAUUCCAGGCUGAUCCACAGAGCCCACUUCAGUUCACCAACUGCUCCUCAGUCCCUCCCCCACACGACUCAGCUACCACCCUAACAAUCUCAGCUGAGCAGGUGAGAAGAGAGCUGAACAGGCUUCAUCCCACAAAGGCUGCAGGUCCUGAUGGAGUCAGCCCAAGGGUGCUGAAAGCCUGUGCUCCUCAGCUAUGUGUUGUUCUCCAACACAUCUUCAACCUCAGCCUGCACCUAGAGUUCCUCUAG